CGUGAGGGAGCAGGCUCUUGGGUCGUAAACCUCUUUUCUCAGGGAAGAAACAAUGACGGUACCUGAGGAAUAAGCAUCGGCUAACUCCGUGCCAGCAGCCGCGGUAAUACGGAGGAUGCAAGCGUUAUCCGGAAUGAUUGGGCGUAAAGCGUCCGCAGGUGGCUAUGUAAGUCUGCUGUUAAAGCGUCUAGCUCAACUAGAUAAGAGCAGUGGAAACUACAUGGCUAGAGUGCGUUCGGGGCAGAGGGAAUUCCUGGUGUAGCGGUGAAAUGCGUAGAGAUCAGGAAGAACACCGGUGGCGAAGGCGCUCUGCUAGGCCGCAACUGACACUGAGGGACGAAAGCUAGGGGAGCGAAUGGGAUUAGAUACCCCCCGUAAACGAUGGAUACUAGGCGUG
rnacentral:rRNA from 1 species